GACGAACGCUGGCGGCGUGCUUAAUACAUGCAAGUCAACUUGACUUUAGAUAGCAAUAUCGAAAAGUAGGGUGGCGCACGGGUGCGUAACGCGUAGGUAAUCUGCCCUGAGGUCUGACAUAACCCGUCGAAAGGCGGGCUAACAUCAGAUGAUAUAUAAUCACGACAUCGUGGAAAUAUCAAAUCUUCGGAGCCUUGGGAUGAGCCUGCGUCUGAUUUAGGUAGUUGGCGGAGUAAUAGCCCACCAAGCCUACGAUCAGUAGCUGGUCUGAGAGGAUGAUCAGCCACACUGGAACUGAGACACGGUCCAGACUCCUACGGGAGGCAGCAGUAAGGAAUAUUGCUCAAUGGGGGAAACCCUGAA
rnacentral:rRNA from 1 species